UCUAUCCCCUUCACAAGGACAAACUUCAUUAGCAACAAAUAUACAUAUUAGAGAUAAUCUAGAUUCCCUAUAAUCAAUGCUUUUACGUUAUACACAAUAGCCUAAUGAAAGAAAUUUUUUAAUACAGUUGUUUUUUACUCUUUUUGUAGGAUAGCAUAGACGUAUCUAUACUAAGGUUUACGGUGAAAUUCUACAGAAUGCUUUGUAGGGAAAACGUGCCACUUUCACGUCGUCGAAUUAACAACAUCGGAUUUCAAGUAUAACUAGUAUACACGGAGAAAAGUUUCCUCGACUUCUUUUUUCUCCAAACGAGCUUUCUCGAUCCCUGAACGAUGUCACUUGAAGUUAAGGUUACACGACGAGGGAAAGACGAGAUCGUUUAGCAACAGCGUGUGACACGAUCCCGAAAAGGAAUUUGAAAAUUUGUAUACGAGAUGCGACGACCUCGAGCCACUUUUCGAGGCCUAUGUGUCUCUCACGAGCGUUUACGAAUUCCAACCGAACACGUACGGAGGAUUCGGCUGGAUCUUAGCCUCCGACGGCGACCACUUGUUGCAUCGACCGGCCGACUUCCGUGGUGCGAGUGUAUUUCUUCUCGAUGUUUGUUCGAAAGAUACGCUUGCAUUCUUGAACGUUGAAUUCGCCAGAUAGAAACCUUCCAAACGAAUCCCCGAUGAAACCGAGCGUCCAAGCUUCGUUCAAAGUUUGAACUUCAAACACAUCGGUAGUUUAAAGCCACUUGCGAAAUUCCAAUCAUUGAUAAUUCAACGUUCUAUAUGUAUUAUGGUAUAUUCGUUAGUUUUUGGAUAAAAAAUUUGAAAUUCGAAACUCAAGCUUAUUUGUACUAUCGAUGAUAUAAUGCUUUUUUGUAUGAUUUGAAGAACUUUGCUUUGAAGAACACAGAAAAACAACACACUCUCUACAGCGGUGCAUCCAGCACUGAAUACGAGUCUCGACUUGUGUCCCCUCCAGAAUGGUCUACCCCACCACGGGCCCCGACCAUUUUGCUGGACGAAGGGCUUGAGAACGCGUCUAGGCGUCGAAUAUAUACUUGGAAGUUACUGUAGCGAACGAUGAUGCUGCUGAUCCUUUUCAGGAUCCACUUUCGAUACACACAAAAUAUGCUCUUUAUGUAAAGAGCGAUUAUUCUCAUUUUUUUGUCUAUGACGAAUCGUUAUCAGGCUAUCGCAAGGACAUCAUGAUGUUUAUCAUACGGACGAAAUAUACUGUGCGACAGUAGUGUGAGGUAGUCAAUAUCAAUUGCAUAAGAUUGCUUCGGAUUUCUCGCGAGAUGAAAGAUUCAUUGAAAAUAAAUGGAAGCUGUUUAAAGGAGAAAAUUAAGAAAUAAGAAGGGCCCUGUUAAACCGAUCGAGUCGCCGAUGGGGCUUCGAUCAUUCGAUUUCUUGUUCGAUUUUUUCACAACGAAGAUCCCUGUAACCGCAAUAGCGAGAGAAGAUGAAAGAGAAACAAAGAUAAUUGGCGAGGAUCGUGGUGGGGCUUAAGACAGCCUGCGCCAACUCUCUGGGAACGAGUACGCCGUCGAAGAUGGUUAGGCGAGUACAGAGGGGCGAGGAAGAGGAGGUAGAAGCUGCUUAAGGAGGCCACGGAAUCUGCAGACGUCUCACCGUCGACCAGUUUUCUCAUACGGUCGACAUAUGGUAUGUACCCGGUGGCCUAAACUUCCACAGGAUAAAUCUCUACCUGAGGUGAGCCCUUGACCUGCCUUCUAAUGCAAAACUGAUUACUACAAUUAACAUAUAUUAUCAGAUGUUAAUUUAAAAACAUUAUAGAAUGGCGUUCAUAUCAUUUCUUAAAUCCUUUUCUGGUUUCCCAUGUAUGUACAUAGAUUCUGAAUUCUAUAAAAUAAGGAGAUCUAAAUACUACAGUCUAGACUAGUAUAGCUGAAUUAGUAUACCAAGCUUGUAUGGGCUAAGUCCGACGACAUGACUCAAGUCUUGCCAAGGUCUGGGUUAAAUAUAAGUCUAGGCUGGGUCUAGGUUGAAUCUACUUAUAUUAUCGAAAUGAAAUCUUAUAUUUCUGUUAAUAUUUGUAACUUAUGUUACGCGAGAGUUAUUCAGAAUUAAAAUGGAACAAGAUGGUUAUUCAGAACGGGAAGAACGAAAUCAGUCUCUUUGGAAUGUCCGAAUCGAUGAUUCGACUCUAACGACUGUAAUCUGAUAAGGAUCGAUUUCAAGGUAAGUUAAAUAACGUGGACAAAAUGCAAUGCUGUGCAUAUACCUGAUCGCAUUAUAAAGCUAACACAUUCGUAAAGCAGGCUUAUUAUGGACCUAUUUCCGUGGCACUAUGCAACGUGUGCAUAUGUGUCAUUAUCAGACCCGUAUUGACGCUUUUCUAUUCAGUUUAGCGGAAAUACAACGCGUCCACUUUGUCAUCGCAAAUAUCUUCAGGCAUAUAGACGUCGAGGCUGCGGAAAAACGAUCCAAAAAAAAGACACGCAGAAAUGCGUCUAAAUAUACAUGGUCGCGAUGCGAUGUUGGAAAGUAUCCUGGCUGGCGUCCACUGGCGCCGAAUCUAAAAAAAGUCUGGGGAAUACGCGUUCGGCAGAUUUAACAUAAUAAGCUCGUUGUACGGGGUGUUGCGAAAAUUCCUAUGAAUAAUCAUUCGAUUCACUGUUUCUUUUCUUUUUAUAUGUACAUACAGUGAAUCACAGAAGUAUUCGAAUACUUGUAUAUACAUUUUAUGAAUAUAUUAUGUUGAAAUUUCAUUAACACUGUCAUGAGACUAUUGCGAGUCAUAUCAUAAUAAAUACAAUCAAUAUAUACAUUCCUGCUUCACAUUUAUCGAUACAAUCAUGACAGUCGUCUUUAUUAUAUGAUAGUGAAAUUUCAAACUGUUUUAUAAAAUAAAAUAAGUUCUCAAUUUUUAUGAGUUACUACAUAUUCAUAACGAAAUCUGAAGAAAAUGACUAAUUAAAAAUCAGUUAAGAUCUUUCUUCUUCUUUGGGUGAUAUCCUAACCUACUUCACCGACACGUUACUUUGCUCGAUCUAAAUAACAUUUGCUGGAUUAUGUGGAAUACCUGUUGCACUUUAUAAAUGCAUAUACAGACAUAUCUCUCCGUGAGACUAAAGAACAGAAGGAACAAUGAGAAGAAUUCAAAUAUCUCAUCGAGCGAUCAAUCCGUUUGAGUAUUAUGUUCUCCUAAUUGUCUAGAACAACAUAUAAUUGCGUCUAGCAUGGUUUAACAUUUCCCAGGCGUACGAAGGUGGAUGCGUUGGUAAUAUCAAUAAGAGAAUGUUCGCUACGAUGUAGACACGUCGGCUUGUCGAUGCACUUAAAUGUUCGCGCGUUGUUCAUUCCUCGAUUAAUAUUCCAUAUAACGUUCCUAUGCAACAAUUUACGUCAUUGCGUUCCUCCAGACGCCAGAAGAUUGAUUGUACAUUUUUUAUUUCGAUGGUUUUUCAGCCCUUCGAUUUGUUCUGCUUCCCUUAACAUGUAUUUAACUGACCUUAUAGUUAACUCUCGUCAUUCUAACUUUAAAGAAAAAGUAUCAAUUCAAAGCUAACAAUUCUUUGGUUCGUUCUAUUCGAAGCAGAAUACGAAAAUAGAGCGAAAUAUAAGCCAGGCUGUUCGAUAAACGAGAUCAAGGCUGAUUGAACGUGCUUUCUCUGAAUCACCGUGACAUCAAGCGUUUAGUUUGAUCGAACUAACGAGCUUAUAAACCUCUUUCGUGAAUUGUCACGUCCAAGGAAUUGCGCCGCUUACGACAUAACCUUAUCUGUGGCUCAAGGAGACGCAAAAGAGAUAUCAUUAUCGCCAGGUGUAAGUGUAGGAGGUUCCAUCGCUCAUGCAUACUUUAUGACGUGAUCGAUUCGUGUAAUAGCAUUAGGACAGAUAACGAUUUCGGCGAAUUCUUUUCUUCGGUGAUUUGUAGGCAA